GCCGGAAUAGCUCAGUUGGCAGAGCA
rnacentral:tRNA from 1 species